GUGGGGAAUUUUGGACAAUGGGCGAAAGCCUGAUCCAGCCAUGCCGCGUGCAGGAUGAAGGCCUUCGGGUUGUAAACUGCUUUUGUACGGAACGAAACGGUCCGGGUUAAUACCCUGGGCUAAUGACGGUACCGUAAGAAUAAGCACCGGCUAACUACGUGCCAGCAGCCGCGGUAAUACGUAGGGUGCAAGCGUUAAUCGGAAUUACUGGGCGUAAAGCGUGCGCAGGCGGUUAUGUAAGACAGAUGUGAAAUCCCCGGGCUCAACCUGGGAACUGCAUUUGUGACUGCAUAGCUAGAGUACGGCAGAGGGGGAUGGAAUUCCGCGUGUAGCAGUGAAAUGCGUAGAUAUGCGGAGGAACACCGAUGGCGAAGGCAAUCCCCUGGGCCUGUACUGACGCUCAUGCACGAAAGCGUGGGGAGCAAACAGGAUUAGAAACCCGAGUAGUCC
rnacentral:rRNA from 1 species